CGGAGAGGUCGCAUAGUGGCCUAGUGCGGCGGUUUGCUAAACCGCUGAAGGGGCAACCCUUCCGAGAGUUCGAAUCUCUCCCUCUCCGCCC
rnacentral:tRNA from 1 species